rnacentral:lncRNA from 1 species
GGUUGCUUAGCAACAAGGUCCCGGUUAAAAUUUUAAGAAUUCUUUUACUUUUACUUUCCAUUUAGGGCAAUGCUCAGGAAGCUGUUUUCAAGGAGAUCCAGGGCUAGGAGAAAAUGUCUUCAAAAAAUGUCUACCUAAAACAAACUCAAGUACUUUUUUCAUUGAGUCACUUUCCAAAAAGGAGAUGAACACUCUACUUCUGGAUCUGAUUUUAAAAUCUUAAGAUUGCAUUUUGGAUUUCCUCAAGUUUCACAUUAAGGAAGUCUUGGUAGGUGGUCUGUGCCUGUGUUGGUGACUUGAAAGGGUGAGAACCCAAGCUCCCUUUAUCUUAAGGCUCCAUCAUUGUCAAAUCCUCAUGUUUGAAACUGGCU